rnacentral:tRNA from 1 species
AAGGAUUUAAGUUAAAUAAAACUUUUAACCUUCAAAGUUAAAUAUAGACCUUGUCUAAGCCUUA